UACGUAGGGUGCAAGCGUUGUCCGGAAUUAUUGGGCGUAAAGAGCUUGUAGGCGGUUUGUCGCGUCUGCUGUGAAAUUUCGGGGCUCAACCCCGAACUUGCAGUGGGUACGGGCAGACUAGAGUGUGGUAGGGGAGACUGGAAUUCCUGGUGUAGCGGUGAAAUGCGCAGAUAUCAGGAGGAACACCGGUGGCGAAGGCGGCGUCCUGGACCAACACUGACACUGAGGAGCGAAAGCCAGGGGAGCAAACGGG
rnacentral:rRNA from 1 species